CCCACCCAACCAGCAGCAGAUGGCUGAAAAGUGAGGGUCACCAAGAGUUUUCUUUCUCUCACUGGCCUAGUGGAAAGAGGACAACUGGGGGCAGCUGCUGAGAUACCCAUUGUCAGGGCCCAAGUGGUCCUUGUACGGCGAGCCUUCUUUCCCCUGGGCCAAGCGAGGUUUGGGGAUAGCGCCAAGCUGUCAUCUUUCUGCUCCAAAGCCACUGUCGCAGUCCGCUAGAGCUGUCAUAACAAAGGACGACAAACCCUACAGCCCCAGCUGCACACCGUGGGCCGUUCUGUCUUUGAAGGAUGUGGCCACUUCUGUGCUCAGCCAGCCCUGAGAACAUCUGCUAGAGAACCCAUAAGCCCGCCCUGGGAACAAGAAGGCUCGCCUGCC